UAUCCUUCUGGCAAGGGUACUGUACUAAACUAACUAAAGUGGGGGAUAGUGAGGGGAUAAAUUUUCUUAAGGAACUCGGCAAAAUCCCAAUGGCCCACCAGGGCAUAUUGGAACACGGGCCUCGACUGUUUACCAAAAACAUAGCCCUCGGCUAAUAUGAAAAUAGAUGUAUAGAGGGUGAUGCCUGCCCAAUGGUUGUAUCUAAAAGCGGUUGAUAAAAGUCGACCUCGUAAGGACAAUUGAAUGGCCGCGGUAACACUGACCGUGAUAAUGUAGCGUAAUCAAUAGCCAAUUAAUUGUUGGCCAGUAUGAAUGGCGCCACGAAGGCCCCACUGUCUUAAGGAAAUUCCCAGUGAAAUUGAAUUCGUAGUGAAGAUGCUACGUGCAAUUUGUUAGACGAAAAGACCCCGUUGAGCUUUACUGGAGCACUUACAUGGCCCUGGCCUUCCCAUGCUUGGGAAUCGGCCGAAUUUAAAUGGGCGGCUUAGAUUAUGUGGCAGCCCCCCGCUGGGGCAAAUGAAACCCCACUCCCCCAUGUCAAAGGGGCUAACCCCCCCCCUUGGGGGGACAGUGUAAGUAGGACAGUUUGGUUGGGGCGACCGCCUUUUAAAGAGUAACGAAGGUGCGCUUAAGGUGCGCAAUUAAUGACUGAAGCCUGACUGCGAGGGGGACACCCCGAGCAGACACCCCAAAGCCCGCCCGAAGGGCGGCGGUGGGGUGGGCCAUAGUGACCCGUUAAUUUAGAGUGGAAUAGUUAACGAUCAACGAAUAAAAGUUACCACGGGGAUAACAGCGUAAUAUCGUUAGAGAGUUCACAUCGACGACGAUGUUUGCGACCUCGAUG
rnacentral:rRNA from 1 species